AAUCAACGCUGGCGGCGUGCCUCAGACAUGCAAGUCGAACGAUUAAAGCUCUCUUCGGAGAGUGCAUAGAGUGGCGCACGGGUGAGUAACACGUAAGUAAUCUACCUUCGAGUGGGGAAUAACGUCCGGAAACGGGCGCUAAUACCGCAUAAUGCAGCGGCAUCGCAAGAUGACAGUUGUUAAAGGAGCAAUCCGCUUGAAGAGGAGCUUGCGGCAGAUUAGCUAGUUGGUAGGGUAAUGGCCUACCAAGGCUACGAUCUGUAACCGGUCUUAGAGGACGGUCGGUCACACUGACACUGAAUAACGGGUCAGACUCCUACGGGAGGCAGCAGUCGGGGAUUUUGGGCAAUGGGGGAAACCCUGACCCAGCAACGCCGCGUGAGUGAAGAAGGCCUCGGUUGUAAG
rnacentral:rRNA from 1 species